rnacentral:misc_RNA from 1 species
GCCAUUUAGUUAAAUCUAACAUGAAAUAAAAGUUAGUAUAUUAUGAAAAUUAAAACUGUUAGAUUAAAUUGUAAUUUUGAGAAAAAAGAUGACUUAUUAAGCCUUAUUUUAAUGAUAAUUGGACUUCUGUUGAAUGCAAUUUCUAAAAUAUGAUAUAAUUUAUAUGUAGCAGUGUUUUCUUAUUUUGGUCACAGUCACGUAGUUAUAACUUUACUUAUAAUUGAUUAGUUACAUAAGUCACUCUACCAGCUGGAUUAGUUAGGGUGUGGUUACUUUUGUUAGCUGGCAUACAUAUAUCCCAUAAAGUUAGUAGAAACAAUUCAGUCACAUGAAUAUAAUUUUCUUGUAGGUAGUUAAU